CAGCCGCCGCGGUAAUACCAGCUCUUCGAGUGGUGUGGAUGUUAUUGGGCCUAAAGCAUCCGUAGCUGGCUAAGUUAGUCCUUGUUAAAUCCACCGAAUUAAUCGUGGAUGCGGGGGAUACUGCUUGGCUAGGGGACGAGAGAGGCAGACGGUAUUUUCGGGGUAGGGGUGAAAUCCUAUAAUCCCGGGAAGACCACCAGUGGCGAAGGCCGUCUGCUAGAACGCGCCCGACGGUGAGGGAUGAAAGCUGGGGGAGCGAACCGGAUUAGAUACCCGGGUAGUCCCAGCUGUAAACGAUGCAGGCUAGGUGUUUGGACGGCCACGUGCCGUUCUAGUGCCGCAGGGAAGCUGUUAAGCCUGCCGCCUGGGGAGUACGAUCGCAAGAUUGAAACUUAAAGGAAUUGGCGGGGGAGCACCACAAGGGGUGAAGCUUGCGGUUUAAUUGGAGUCAACGCCGGAAAUCUCACCGGGAGCGACAGCAGUGUGAAGGCCAGAUUAAAGGUCUUGCCAGACGAGCUGAGGGGAGGUGCAUGG
rnacentral:rRNA from 1 species